rnacentral:rRNA from 1 species
GUCUAUGGCCAUACCACCCUGAACCUGCUUGAUCUCAGAAGCUAAGCAGGGUCGGGCCUGGUUAGUACUUGGAUGGGAGAAAUAAUUGCUUGCUUAACAUCAGGUUACUUCAGGUU